rnacentral:rRNA from 1 species
AUUGAACGCUGGCGGAAUGCUUUACACAUGCAAGUCGAACGGCAGCACGGACUUCGGUCUGGUGGCGAGUGGCGAACGGGUGAGUAAUGUAUCGGAACGUGCCCAGUCGUGGGGGAUAACGUAGUGAAAAUUACGCUAAUACCGCAUACGAUCUAUGGAUGAAAGCGGGGGAUCGCAAGACCUCGCGCGAUUGGAGCGGCCGAUAUCAGAUUAGGUAGUUGGUGGGGUUAAGGCCCACCAAGCCAACGAUCUGUAGCUGGUCUGAGAGGACGACCAGCCACACUGGAACUGAGACACGGUCCAGACUCCUACGGGAGGCAGCAGUGGGGAAUUUUAGACAAUGGGCGAAAGCCUGAGCCAGCCAUUCCGCGUGCAGGAUGAAGCCCCUCAGGUUGUAAACUGCUUUUGUACAGAACGAAAAGGUUUCUACUAAUACCAGGAGCUCAUGACGGUACUGUAAGAAUAAGCACCGGCUAACUACGUGCCAGCAGCCGCGGUAA